rnacentral:rRNA from 1 species
AAGCGUGCGCAGGCGGUUAUAUAAGACAGAUGUGAAAUCCCCGGGCUCAACCUGGGAACUGCAUUUGUGACUGUAUAGCUGGAGUGCGGCAGAGGGGGAUGGAAUUCCGCGUGUAGCAGUGAAAUGCGUAGAUAUGCGGAGGAACACCGAUGGCGAAGGCAAUCCCCUGGGCCUGCACUGACGCUCAUGCACGAAAGCGUUGGGGAGCAAACAGGAUUAGAUACCCUUGU